ensembl:ncRNA F44A2.9 ncRNA
ACAACGACUUAACAUUGUUUUGUACACGGAUUAUCAAGUGGUUUCCGAGAGAGAUAGUGACUACGACCACAGACGAUUCGAGACGGUAUGACGGAAUUGCCUGCUUGUCCUGAUCGCCCUCUUGCACUUUUCGAACC